UACGUAGGGGGCCAGCGUUGCUCGGAAUUACUGGGCGUAAAGGGUUCGUAGGUGGUGCGGCAAGUUGGGAGUGAAAUCUCUGGGCUUAACUCAGAGGCUGCUUUCAAAACUGCCGCGCUCGAGUGCGAGAGAGGUCAGUGGAACUGCGAGUGUAGAGGUGAAAUUCGUAGAUAUUCGCAAGAACACCAGUGGCGAAGGCGGCUCACUGGCCCGGUACUGACGCUGAGGUGCGAAAGCGUGGGGAGCAAACAGG
rnacentral:rRNA from 1 species